rnacentral:tRNA from 1 species
UCCCAUAGGGUCUAGUGGUUAGAAUUUCUGGUUUUCACCCAGGUGGCCCGGGUUCAACUCCCGGUAUGGGAA